AUGGGAGUGACCGAUGUGGUCAAACUGAAACUCUACUGCUACAUGGCCGUAGGUCUGCGCCCGCCCACUGCCUCGCUCUGGUCCCCACAGCCACCCACUAUUACGUCAGGCAGGGAAGCCAGUCUAUUUCCUCCCCCUUCUUUAUCUAAAGGAAGUGCCAAAAUAAGCACCGGCGGCGGAGCGGCGGAGCACCUUUCCCACUGGCCACUGAGUCGCCGUCUGAGGAAGAAGUCGCAGGAGCUUAACGCCCGCAGAAUCAACAUGAAGCCCUCCGGUGUUCUCGUGCUCUCCCUGCUCGCAUCCCUCCAUGUCUUCACACCAGGUGUGAGGCUGCAGACGACACAACCAACAAGCCCACCAGGAACAACCGCAAACCAAACAACACCGACGCAGAACAAGACAGCGUCCACAGCAGCGACCUCUUCAUCCACCACCGCAGGACCAUCAGGCAAAACAUCAGCCACAACAGCAGAACCAACAACACCAACACAAUCACCUCCAGCAGAAAUCCAACUAGGUUCAACCACAACACAACCAGAUGCAACACCGACGCAGAACAAGUCAGCAUCCACAGCAGCGCCCUCUUCAUCCACCGCCACAGCCCAUCAUGUCACCAGCCCGAUUCCUGAGAACGGAAAACCUGAGCAGAAAACCCAUCAACCUGGGAGGACCACGACUUCCUCCGCAGCAUCUUCAGGCGGCACGAACGGCACCAGCACAGCUGAAAACAAGACAGACAAUCAAACUUUGACACCAAACACUCCUCUCGAUUCUAACACAGAGAAACCCAGAGAAACUGCACCUGCAGCUACAGCAGAGAAUGGCCCAGGUACCCACUCUGGCAGUGAACAAAGAGUCCAAUCAGACAAAAGGUGGUGGUGGAUUCUGCUGCCCAUCGGCCUCGUGGGAGCUGCUGCUAUCAUUGUCAAGUUCAAAAGCAAGAAGGUCCACGUUAACUCGGAAACCGUCGAUAUUGGAACUGAGAACGCAUCUUUCCAGAGCAGACCCGAAAGCGCCAAAGAUGGUGUCAUGCUCCUCGGGGUGAAGUCAUCGGGUGGAGAAGACAAUGCUUCUGCGAGAUAA
ensembl:lncRNA